UACGUAGGGUGCAAGCGUUAUCCGGAAUCACUGGGCGUAAAGGGCGCGUAGGCGGAUCUUUAAGUCGGGGGUGAAAGCCUGUGGCUCAACCACAGAAUUGCCUUCGAUACUGAAGAUCUCGAGACCGGAAGAGGUAAGUGGAACUGCGAGUGUAGAGGUGAAAUUCGUAGAUAUUCGCAAGAACACCAGUGGCGAAGGCGGCUUACUGGUCCGGUUCUGACGCUGAGGCGCGAAAGCGUGGGGAGCAAACGGG
rnacentral:rRNA from 1 species